UGGAUCCAGACUUUGAUCCUGGCUCAGGACGAACGCUGGCGGCGUGCCUAAUACAUGCAAGUAGAACGCUGAAGAGAGGAGCUUGCUCUUCUUGGAUGAGUUGCGAACGGGUGAGUAACGCGUAGGUAACCUGCCUUGUAGCGGGGGAUAACUAUUGGAAACGAUAGCUAAUACCGCAUAACAAUGGAUGACUCAUGUCAUUUAUUUGAAAGGGGCAAAUGCUCCACUACAAGAUGGACCUGCGUUGUAUUAGCUAGUAGGUGAGGUAACGGCUCACCUAGGCGACGAUACAUAGCCGACCUGAGAGGGUGAUCGGCCACACUGGGACUGAGACACGGCCCAGACUCCUACGGGAGGCAGCAGUAGGGAAUCUUCGGCAAUGGGGGCAACCCUGACCGAGCAACGCCGCGUGAGUGGAGAAGGUUUUCGGAUCGUAAAGCUCUGUUGUAAGUCAAGAACGAGUGUGAGAGUGGAAAGUUCACACUGUGACGGUAGCUUACCAGAAAGGGACGGCUAACUACGUGCCAGCAGCCGCGGUAAUACGUAGGUCCCGAGCGUUGUCCGGAUUUAUUGGGCGUAAAGCGAGCGCAGGCGGUUUGAUAAGUCUGAAGUUAAAGGCUGUGGCUCAACCAUAGUUCGCUUUGGAAACUGUCAAACUUGAGUGCAGAAGGGGAGAGUGGAAUUCCAUGUGUAGCGGUGAAAUGCGUAGAUAUAUGGAGGAACACCGGUGGCGAAAGCGGCUCUCUGGUCUGUAACUGACGCUGAGGCUCGAAAGCGUGGGGAGCGAACAGGAUUAGAUACCCUGGUAGUCCACGCCGUAAACGAUGAGUGCUAGGUGU
rnacentral:rRNA from 1 species